rnacentral:rRNA from 1 species
UAGAGUUUUAUCAUGGCUCAGAUUGAACGCUGGCGGCAGGCCUAACACAUGCAAGUCGAGCGGUAACAUUUCAAAAGCUUGCUUUUGAAGAUGACGAGCGGCGGACGGGUGAGUAAUGCCUGGGAAUUUGCCCAUUUGUGGGGGAUAACAGUUGGAAACGACUGCUAAUACCGCAUACGCCCUACGGGGGAAAGCAGGGGACCUUCGGGCCUUGCGCUGAUGGAUAAGCCCAGGUGGGAUUAGCUAGUAGGUGAGGUAAAGGCUCACCUAGGCGACGAUCCCUAGCUGGUCUGAGAGGAUGAUCAGCCACACUGGGACUGAGACACGGCCCAGACUCCUACGGGAGGCAGCAGUGGGGAAUAUUGCACAAUGGGGGAAACCCUGAUGCAGCCAUGCCGCGUGUGUGAAGAAGGCCUUCGGGUUGUAAAGCACUUUCAGCGAGGAGGAAAGGGUGUAAGUUAAUACCUUACAUCU